rnacentral:tRNA from 2 species
GGAACAAUGGACUAACAGGCAAGUCACCGCAUUGUAUGCAGGCUGGUGAUACAGGUUCGAAUCCUGUUUGUUUCAC